GGCGGCCAUGUUUCCCAACAAAAUGGCGACACGUGUCGCCAUCGAAAAAUUGGGCCGGGUCUGAAAGCUCUAGAAUGUGCCUUUCAUCAGUCUCAGAAUUUCCCAUAGGAUGAAACAGCAAGAGGUGCUUUUGGAAGAAAGUUAAUUCCCUUGGUGGGCAGGAGAAUAAAUAAAAUGCAGGCCUGACACGGGAUUUUUAAAAAACUGAGUAAUGGCAGGCAGAGCAAGACAAUCCCAGAGAGAUGAAUGAAGUGAAUGACCCAAGGUUACACAGGAUGGAACCUAUAUCUUCUGAUUUCUCUACUGGCCUGCACUCCACGUUCUGAGGAGGAGUCCUUGAAGCUACUGAGAUAAUGGAACAAUGGAGUAGAUAGUCCAUUAUAACUCAUCUGGGAUUCUUCUCAACUUCAAGUGACCACAGGUGGAAACAUGGUCUGGUAACACCACGCUUCCGGAUGUGAUUGUGGAGCUGGAUUGCUUAACCUGGGCUAAGUCAUUUAUCUUCCUGUGUCCCUCAGUUCUUCAUGGGCUGCAGAAGUGUUAAGAGUGCCUGCUUGUCUUCGAGAGGACCAGAGAUCAAUUCCCAGCAUCCAUCCCUGGAAGCUACAGGGAAUUCAACACUCUUCCUGACUUCCUCAAACACCUGCACACAUAUGGCUUAUAGACACACAGGGAAAGAAGUAAAGGAAAUCUUAAAAACA
rnacentral:lncRNA from 1 species